UACGUAGGUGGCAAGCGUUGUCCGGAUUUACUGGGCGUAAAGAGCGCGCAGGCGGUCGUUCAAGUCGCGUGUGAAAGCCCCCGGCUCAACUGGGGAGGGUCACGCGAUACUGAUCGACUCGAAGGCAGGAGGGGGGUAGUGGAAAUUCCAGGUGUAGCGGUGAAAAUGCGUAGAUAUCUGGAGGAACACCAAUGGCGAAGGCGGCUUCUGGACGGUAACUGACGCUGAGACGCGAAAGCGUGGGGAGCAAACAGG
rnacentral:rRNA from 1 species